CGCCAGACUCCUACGGGAGGCAGCAGUGGGGAAUAUUGCACAAUGGGGGAAACCCUGAUGCAGCGACGCCGCGUGAGCGAUGAAGUAUUUCGGUAUGUAAAGCUCUAUCAGCAGGGAAGAAGAUGACGGUACCUGACUAAGAAGCCCCGGCUAACUACGUGCCAGCAGCCGCGGUAAUACGUAGGGGGCAAGCGUUAUCCGGAUUUACUGGGUGUAAAGGGAGCGUAGACGGCGAUGCAAGCCAGAUGUGAAAGCCCGGGGCUCAACCCCGGGACUGCAUUUGGAACUGUGUGGCUGGAGUGUCGGAGAGGCAGGCGGAAUUCCUAGUGUAGCGGUGAAAUGCGUAGAUAUUAGGAGGAACACCAGUGGCGAAGGCGGCCUGCUGGACGACAACUGACGGUGAGGCGCGAAAGCGUGGGGAGCAAACAGGAUUAGAUACCCUCGUAA
rnacentral:rRNA from 1 species